rnacentral:rRNA from 1 species
GACGAACGCUGGCGGCGUGCCUAAUACAUGCAAGUCGAACGCAGGGGGGACGGGUGCGUAACACGUGGGUAACCUCCCAUCAGACGGGAUAACACUUGGAAACAGGUGCUAAACCGCUACUGAUGGCUGGACCCGCGGUGCAUUAGCUAGUUGGUGAGGUAACGGCGCACCAAGGCCACGAUGCAUAGCUGACCGUAGAGUGUGAUCAGCAACACUGGAAUUGAGACACGGCCCAGAUUCCUACGGGAGGAAGCAGUAGGGAAUAGGAGACAAUGGAAGAAAGUCUGAAGGAGCAACGCCGCGUGAGGGAAGAAGGUUUUCGGGUCGUAAAGCUCUGGUGGUAGAGAAGCGUUAUCUAACCAGAAAGCCACGGCUAACUACGUGCCAGCAGCGGCGGUAAUAC